UAUGGUCAUAUCACAUUGAAACACCAGUUUUCAUCCAAUCACCAAAGUUAAGCAAUGUUGAGUUAGGUUAGUACUUAGAUGGAUGACCACUUGGGAAUACCA